rnacentral:rRNA from 1 species
AACGUAGGACACGAGCGUUAUCCGGAGUUACUGGGCGUAAAGGGCGUGCAGGCGGUUUUGUAAGUUUGAUGUGAAAGCGCCCGGCUUAACCGGGCGAGGACAUUGGAGACUGCAAGACUAGAGGCAGAUAGAGGGGUGUAGAAUUCCGGGUGUAGUGGUGAAAUGCGUAGAGAUCCGGAGGAAUACCAGAGGCGAAGGCGGCACCCUGGGUCUGACCUGACGCUGAGACGCGAAGGCGUGGGGAGCGAACGGG